UACAAAUAUACCACCUUCAACAAAUUGACUCUCAGCCGUCUUACCUCGCUCGCCUCAGCCGUCUUACCUCUCUCGCCUCAUCCCUCUGAUUCAGUCACUCUUGCUUCAUCUCUCUCCCCUCUCUGGCCUCAUCCCUCUUAUUCACUCACUCUCGCCUCUCUCCUCUCUAUCUCUUCACUCUCGCCUCUCUCACCUGUCUCUUGAAGGAGUACGAAGGACGACAAUACGGUGGACGAAGGACGAUGAGACGGUGGACGAAUGACGUGGGAGGACGACUGAGAACGACGAAUGACGACGGAGGACGAACGACAGCCUGCGAUAUGAGAGCACGAACGAACACUGCAAUUACUUCAGGUUCGCAGAUGAUGACGACGACGACGUUAUCUCCACAAUCCGUGCCAAUGCUGGACCUCAGACAGAUUCAAGAACAGAAGAAAUUAAUGAUCUAGCGAGAAGGUUUGGUGAGAUGGACAACCCAGUUCAUGAGCAUGACAGAAGGCUUCAAAGGAUGGAGAAAAUUUUGAAGGAAAUGACUUAUGUCAUUGUAUUUUGUGUAUUUUUUUACUUUAUCAUGUAAAUGAAUCAGUUGUUAGGUUUUCGACAAUGUCAUGAAUGUAAUCAGUACUUCUUUUGUAUGAUAUUUUGUAUUUUGUAAUUUGUAAUCAAUACUGCCUACCAUCUUUAUUUUGUAUUUUA